rnacentral:tRNA from 1 species
GUCUCGAAAGUGAUUUAUUCAUUUAUGGUUUCGGCCCAUUAGGUAACAGUAAGGUUCUGUUUUGAGAUU